AUGGUCACAUUACAUUUAAAACACCAGUUCAUGUACGACCACUGAAGUUAAGCAAUGUCGAGCUUGGUCAGUACUUAGAUUGAUGACCACUUGUUAAUAGCAGGUGCUGUAAG